ensembl:lncRNA LINC01378 long intergenic non-protein coding RNA 1378
AAUCAUCAGCAUUCUAAGAUUCAGCUGAGGACAAGACCCUGGCACUUAAUAGAAUAGAAGUGACUGAAAAUUGAAUGAUGAUUCCUGUGGAGAGUAUAAAAUAGGUCACUCCAUCUAGUACCCUGACUGAAAAUUAUCAAAACUGAACGGGACUUAAAUCCAUUAGUUCUACUAUCUUUUCAAUGCAUAUUUAGUGCCUCCAGCUUUUUAUCCAGUGCAUACCCUGAAAAAUACCUCCCAGUCUCGAGUAUAAAGAAGAGGAUGAAGGCUUAAGCAGGAAACUUUGACAGCUCCAAAGACCUUAAUCCUUAUAAAGAAGUAAUGAAGUUUCAACUUUGCACUCAGGUUUUCAAGAAACCUUUGCAACUUUAACAUAGCAUUUUGAGGAGUAAAAGUGACACCUGGAAAAAGCCAUCCUUGAGAACUAACUCCCCACAAACUGAUCAGAUGUCACAACUGUGAUUUUUCUUCAGAGAGAGCAAAACUAUGGGUUAAGAUGUGUUUGGAAGGCAGAAAUCUGACCAAGAGUCUGUCAUGAGGAGCAGACAUACAGAAGAAUGAUUCACAAGAAGACCUCCUUUCUGUGCAUUGAACAUCUAUCCACAGAGCACAUCUUCAUUACUAGGGGAGAGCAUCCAUCAGCUGACAUGGUGGUGGCAGCAUGGUCACAACUGAGGUGCGGCUUCAGAAAGGAGAGCUUUUCAAUAGUUAGAUUAUUACAGGGCCCAACUAAAUGCCUCAAAUUCCCAGGAAUGUAGAUAAUAACAAUUAUGCCUCUUUCUCUCUUUUCCUCACAGACAAAAAGGUAACUUAUGUUGCAUAAUUAUAAAAAAUUCCAAAAUAAAAAUUUGAAAUAUACAGGACACUUCAAAUAAUACAUCUACAUGUUUUGAAUCAUCUUCCUAAAGCCCAAAUAUUGUUGUUGUGUACCCAGGCACAGUAGGGAGCUGAUCAUUACAAAUGACAGCAACAACAUUUUAAAAUUAUAAAUCUUAAGAAUAUUUAAAUAAAUGUAUAGCAACUAAUAAAAUUGAAAGCAAAAUGUAUACUAACUUAAUUUAUAUUUUAUUAGCAGAUAUUUGUCUUUUAAAACUGUUUAUUAGUAAAUUUAAAUUAUGUAAAAUUUUGCAUGUAUAUCUUAGGAUGGCAGAUAUAUCUUGAGGUCAUAUUAUUCCCCUUAUUUGCAGGUAGAGUCAAAUAUCCAUUUUUUUGUUGGCUUCUCAUCCUACUGACUUUGUAUUAACUUGACUUGUAUUCAUUAUUUAAAUUAAAAAUGAAAUGGAAAUUCCAUAAUGGGAAUUACCUCCCAUUGUUAGAUUUAAGUUUCAGUCAACAGAAUCUCUCAUUUUCAUCAAGAAAUUUUUUAAACGCGUGGGCACAAUAUUCCUAUUCUUUCUUUUAAAAACUCAACUCCUGCACUUCAGCUUAAGCAACAGAGUUAAGACCCUGUCUUAAAAAACAAAACAAAACAAAAUAAAA